rnacentral:rRNA from 1 species
GAUGAACGCUGGCGGCGUGCUUAACACAUGCAAGUCGAACGGAAAGGCCCAAGCUUGCUUGGGUACUCGAGUGGCGAACGGGUGAGUAACACGUGGGUGAUCUGCCCUGCACUUCGGGAUAAGCCUGGGAAACUGGGUCUAAUACCGGAUAGGACGAUGGUUUGGAUGCCAUUGUGGAAAGUUUUUUCGGUGUGGGAUGAGCUCGCGGCCUAUCAGCUUGUUGGUGGGGUAAUGGCCUACCAAGGCGUCGACGGGUAGCCGGCCUGAGAGGGUGUACGGCCACAUUGGGACUGAGAUACGGCCCAGACUCCUACGGGAGGCAGCAGUGGGGAAUAUUGCACAAUGGGGGCAGGCCUGAUGCAGCGACGCCGCGUGGGGGAUGACGGCCUUCGGGGUGUAAACUCCUUUCGCUAGGGACGAAGCGUUUUUGUGACGGUACCUGGAGAAGAAGCACCGGCUAACUACGUG